rnacentral:rRNA from 1 species
AAGUCGAACGGUAACAGGAAGCAGCUUGCUGCUUCGCUGACGAGUGGCGGACGGGUGAGUAAUGUCUGGGAAACUGCCUGAUGGCGGGGGAUAACUACUGGAAACGGUAGCUAAUACCGCAUAACGUCGCAAGACCAAAGAGGGGGACCUUCGGGCCUCUUGCCAUCGGAUGUGCCCAGAUGGGAUUAGCUAGUAGGUGGGGUAACGGCUCACCUAGGCGACGAUCCCUAGCUGGUCUGAGAGGAUGACCAGCCACACUGGAACUGAGACACGGUCCAGACUCCUACGGGAGGCAGCAGUGGGGA